rnacentral:rRNA from 1 species
GUUGAACGCUGGCGGCAUGCUUUACACAUGCAAGUCGAACGGCAGCACGGACUUCGGUCUGGUGGCGAGUGGCGAACGGGUGAGUAAUACAUCGGAACGUGCCCAGUUGUGGGGGAUAACUACUCGAAAGAGUAGCUAAUACCGCAUGAGAACUGAGGUUGAAAGCAGGGGAUCGUAAGACCUUGCGCAACUGGAGCGGCCGAUGGCAGAUUAGGUAGUUGGUGGGAUAAAAGCUUACCAAGCCGACGAUCUGUAGCUGGUCUGAGAGGACGACCAGCCACACUGGGACUGGGACACGGCACAGACUCCUACGGGAGGCAGCAGUGGGGAAUUUUGGACAAUGGGCGAAAGCCUGAUCCAGCAAUGCAGCGUGCAGGAUGAAGGCCUUCGGGUUGUAAACUGCUUUUGUACGGAACGAAAAGCUUCGGGCUAAUACCCUGGAGUCAUGACGGUACCGUAAGAAUAAGCACCGGCUAACUACGUGCCAGCCGCCGCGGUAAGAC